rnacentral:misc_RNA from 1 species
UGCGUGCUGCAGUGUGUGAAAAUAUUGGUCUUUAUAUGGAGAAGGAGGAAGAACUGUUUCAGAAGUAUCUAAGCGGGUUUGUUGAGGCUGUAUGGAGUCUUCUUGUGGCUUCAUCUGCAUCUUCUAGUAGGGAACGACUUACUGUUACUGCAAUCAAGUUCUUAACCACUGUUAGUACUAGCGUGCAUCAUAUUUUGUUUGAAAGAGAUGACAUUCUGGAGCAGAUUUGUCAGAGUAUUGUAAUUCCCAAUGUGAUGCUGAGAGACGAGGAUGAAGAGUUGUUUGAAAUGAACUAUAUUGAGUUUAUUAGACGGGAUAUGGAAGGGAGUGAUCUUGAUACAAGGAGGAGGAUCGCAUGUGAACUGCUCAAGGGCAUUGGUAUGCAUUACAAAGACAAGGUCACAGCGAAGGUGUCCCUUCAGAUACAAAAUUGCUUGGGCUUGUUUUCCCAGAAUCCGGAUGCAAAUUGGAAAUAUAAGGAUUGUGCUAUCUAUUUGGUUGUCUCCCUUGCCACUAAGAAGGCAGGUGGUAGUUCAGUAUCAACUGAUCUUGUAGAUGUUGAGAACUUUUUCGGGUCAGUUAUUGUACCAGAGUUGCAAAGUAGGGAUGUGAAUGCCUUUCCAAUGUUGAAGGCAGG